GACGAACCGUCCUAACGUUGUUCGGAAUCACUGGGCUUAAAGGGCGCGUAGGCGGGCUGCCAAGUCUGUGGUGAAAUCCUCCGGCUUAACCGGAGAACUGCCGUGGAUACUGGCGGUCUCGAGGGAGGUAGGGGUCUGUGGAACUUCCGGUGGAGCGGUGAAAUGCGUUGAUAUCGGAAGGAACGCCGGUGGCGAAAGCGACGGACUGGACCUCUUCUGACGCUGAGGAGCGAAAGCUAGGUGAGCAAACGGG
rnacentral:rRNA from 1 species